UACGAAGGGUGCGAGCGUUGUUCGGAAUUACUGGGCGUAAAGGGCGCGUAGGCGGUCCUUCAAGUCAGGCGUGAAAGCCCCGGGCUCAACCUGGGAACCGCGCUUGAGACUGGCGGACUCGAGUUCGGGAGAGGAUGGUGGAAUUCCCAGUGUAGAGGUGAAAUUCGUAGAUAUUGGGAAGAACACCGAUGGCGAAGGCAGCCAUCUGGACCGACACUGACGCUGAGGCGCGAAAGCGUGGGGAGCAAACAGG
rnacentral:rRNA from 1 species